rnacentral:misc_RNA from 1 species
CGCGCCUUGCAGGCAAUGCACGCGCGCGGGCGCUGGCGAUGCUGGCCGAACCCGUGUCGGCCGAACAGGCCGAAGCCUGGGGCAUGAUCUGGAAGACCGUCGACGAUGCCAACCUGAUGACCGUAGCCGCCCAUCUCGCCAAGCAACCGACGGGCGCCCUCGCCCUGACCAAACAGGCGCUUGAUGCAUCCGAAACCAACACCCUCGCGCAGCAACUCGACCUCGAGCGCGAUCUUCAGGGGCAAGCCGGACGCGGCUCGGAUUUCGCGGAGGG